GUCAACUAUUUUUUUCACUGAAAAAUGUCAUCAGGAGAAUCUCUACUGUGAAUGAUGACACCGAUCAUGAACAAGGCAGCUCUGUAUCUAAACGGUGCCUUGAGCUGAAUGAUAGGAUUAUGAUGUACAUGCAUCUCUUGCAUGCACAGGAAGUACUGCAGUGGUUUUACAGAAGAAGAAACAACCCAAGCAAACAGAACAGCUCUGCAGCCCUAAGCCUGACAUCUGGUAUAAUCGAAGCUGCUGAAACUCAGAGCAGAGCCCCAGCAGGAUCACUUCCCCUUGUCAAGACCCUCUAUGAGAAUUAAAUGCAAAUGGGAUUUGAUUUUGCUUGUGGCCUUAUCUUUUGUGUAAGGGCAUUAAACAUCCCCUUUGGGCUUUCAGCUCUGUCCACCACCUACUCCACCGCCUUCCUCCCCCCUGUGGAGUGGGCACAACAGAGCUCCACGAAUGCACAUCAGCACUGCUCCUGACAUGCAGCACUGCAUCCCAAAUUCGUGGAAAACAGCUACGUGCAGAAUGUAAACCAGCCCUGGCCAUGGUCAGCCCUGAGGUCCUGAUCUCUCAAUCAUUUGUAUCAGUAUGUUGUCUAAACCAUGUCCGUACAAACUGAUUUUCCUCCCAUUGAAGCCUGCUCAUGGGAGGGUGAUUCAUAGCCCUUUGUAUUUCAUCCUGCUGCCAGGUUGGGAUGCAGAAAGGUCCAUGGGUUUUGCUGCUCACAGCCUGUGGAGCUUCCCAAUGACUGAUGGCUCUCGGGUCAGGC
rnacentral:lncRNA from 1 species